rnacentral:rRNA from 1 species
GAUGAACGCUGGCGGCGUGCCUAAUACAUGCAAGUCGAACGGACAGGCCCUGCUCUUGCGGGGCGCUCGUGUGGCGAACGGGUGUGUAUAACGCGAGUAACCUGCACCUGUCUUUGGGAUAACUCCAGGAAACUGGGGCUAAUAUCGGAUAGGAGAUCCUGCUGCAUGGUGGGGGUUGGAAAGUUUCGGCGGUUGGGGAUGGUCUCGAGGCUUAUCCGCUUGUUGGUGGGGUAGUGGCUUUCCAAGGUUAUGAAGGGUAGCCGGCCUGAGAGGGUGACCGGCGACAUGAGGACUGAGAGACGGCGCAGAAGCCUACGGGAGGCAGCAGGGGAGAGUAUUGCGGAGUGAGCGGGAGCCAGAUGCAGCGGCGCCGCGUGCGUGAUGACGGCCUUCGGGUUAUGAACCGCUUUCUCCUGUGACGAGGCGUGAGUGACGGUAAUGAGUAAAGAAGCACCGGCUAACUACGUG